rnacentral:rRNA from 1 species
AGUGAACGCUGGCGGUAGGCCUAACACAUGCAAGUCGAACGGCAGCACAGUAAGAGCUUGCUCUUACGGGUGUCGAGUGGCGGACGGGUGAGGAAUACAUCGGAAUCUACUUUUUCGUGGGGGAUAACGUAGGGAAACUUACGCUAAUACCGCAUUCGACCUACGGGUGAAAGCAGGGGAUCUUCGGACCUUGCGCGAUUGAAUGAGCCGAUGUCGGAUUAGCUAGUUGGCGGGGUAAAGGCCCACCAAGGCGACGAUCCGUAGCUGGUCUGAGAGGAUGAUCAGCCACACUGGAACUGAGACACGGUACAGACUCCUACGGGAGGAAGCAGUGGGGAAUAUUGGACAAUGGGCGCAAGCCUGAUCCAGCCAUACCGCGUGGGUGAAGAAGGCCUUCGGGUUGUAAAGCCCUUUUGUUGGGAAAGAAAAGCAGCAGGUUAAUACCCCGCUGUUCUGACGGUACCCAAAGAAUAAGCACCGGCUAACUUCGUG